rnacentral:rRNA from 1 species
GACGAACGCUGGCGGCGUGCUUAACACAUGCAAGUCGAACGGAAAGGCCCUGCUUUUUUGUGGUUCUCGAGUCGCGAACGGGUGUGUAACACGUGAGUAACCUGCCCUUUACUUUGUGAUAACUUCAGGAAACUGGUGCUAAUACCGGAUAGGAGCUCCUGCUGCAUGGUGGUGGUUGGAAAGUUUAGGCGGUUGGGGAUGGACUCGCGGCUUAUCAGCUUGUUGGUGGGGUAGUUGCUUACCAAGGCUUUGACGGGUAGCCGGCCUGGGAGGGUGGACGGCGACAUUGGGACUGAGAGACGGCCCAGAGUCCUACGGGAGGCAGCAGGGGGGAAUAUUGCACAAUGGGCGGAAGCCUGAUGCAGCAACGCCGCGUGCGGGAUGACGGCCUUCGGGUUGUAAACCGCUUUCGCCUGUGACGAAGCGUGAGUGACGGUAAUGGGUAAAGAAGCACCGGCUAACUACGUG